rnacentral:rRNA from 1 species
UGCAAGCCGAGCGGUAUUUGUCUUUCGGGACAGAGAGAGCGGCGUACGGGUGCGGAACACGUGUGCAACCUGCCUUUAUCUGGGGGAUAGCCUUUCGAAAGGAAGAUUAAUACCCCAUAAUAUAAUUGAUGGCAUCAUUGAUUAUUGAAAACUCCGGUGGAUAGAGAUGGGCACGCGCAAGAUUAGAUAGUUGGUGAGGUAACGGCUCACCAAGUCGAUGAUCUUUAGGGGGCCUGAGAGGGUGAUCCCCCACACUGGUACUGAGACACGGACCAGACUCCUACGGGAGGCAGCAGUAAGGAAUAUUGGUCAAUGGAGGCAACUCUGAACCAGCCAUGCCGCGUGCAGGAAGACUGCCCUAUGGGUUGUAAACUGCUUUUAUCUGGGAAUAAACCUAUUUACGUGUAGAUAGCUGAAUGUACCAGAAGAAUAAGGAUCGGCUAACUCCGUGCCAGCAGCCGCGGUAAUACGGAGGAUCCAAGCGUUAUCCGGAUUUAUUGGGUUUAAAGGGUGCGUAGGCGGCCUGUUAAGUCAGAGGUGAAAGACGGUAGCUCAACUAUCACAGUGCCUUUGAUACUGAUGGGCUUGAAUGGACUAGAGGUAGGCGGAAUGAGACAAGUAGCGGUGAAAUGCAUAGAUAUGUCUCAGAACACCGAUUGCGAAGGCAGCUUACUAUGGUUUUAUUGACGCUGAGGCACGAAAGCGUGGGGAUCAAACAGGAUUAGAUACCCUGGUAGUCCACGCCCUAAACGAUGAACACUCGCUGUUGGCGAUACACAGUCAGCGGCUAAGCGAAAGCGUUAAGUG